rnacentral:rRNA from 1 species
CCUACGGGGGGCUGCAGUGGGGAAUUUUCCGCAAUGGGCGAAAGCCUGACGGAGCAAUACCGCGUGAGGGAGGAAGGCCUUUGGGUUGUAAACCUCUUUUCUCAAGGAAGAAGUUCUGACGGUACUUGAGGAAUCAGCAUCGGCUAACUCCGUGCCAGCAGCCGCGGUAAUACGGAGGAUGCAAGCGUUAUCCGGAAUUAUUGGGCGUAAAGCGUCCGCAGGCGGUUUCACAAGUCUGCUGUCAAAGACUGGAGCUUAACUCCGGGCAGGCGGUG